AAGGAAUUUUCCGCAAUGGGCGCAAGCCUGACGGAGCAACGCCGCGUGCGGGAUGACGCCUUUCGGGGUGUAAACCGCUGUUCGUGGGGACGAAGCACUGACGGUACCCACGGAGGAAGGCCCGGCUAACUACGUGCCAGCAGCCGCGGUAAUACGUAGGGGCCGAGCGUUGUCCGGAGUUACUGGGCGUAAAGCGUGCGCAGGCGGCGUAUCGCGCCCGGCGUGAAAGCCCCCGGCUCAACCGGGGAGGGUCGUCGGGGACGGGUACGCUUGAGGGCAGCAGGGGCUGGUUGAAUUCCCGGUGUA
rnacentral:rRNA from 1 species